GACGUAGGGCGCGAGCGUUGUCCGGAUUUAUUGGGCGUAAAGAGCUCGUAGGCGGCUUGUCGCGUCGAAUGUGAAAACUCGGGGCUCAACUCCGAGCUUGCAUUCGAUACGGGCAGGCUAGAGUUCGGUAGGGGAGACUGGAAUUCCUGGUGUAGCGGUGAAAUGCGCAGAUAUCAGGAGGAACACCGGUGGCGAAGGCGAGUCCCUGGACAACUCCUGACACUGAGGCACGAAAGCUAGGGGAGCAAACAGG
rnacentral:rRNA from 1 species